GAAAUGCGAUAAGUAAUGUGAAUUGCAGAAUUCAGUGAAUCAUCGAAUCUUUGAACGCACAUUGCGCCCGCCAGCAUUCUGGCGGGCAUGCCUGUUCGAGCGUCAUUUCAACCAUCGAGCCCCCGGGCUUGUGUUGGGGACCUGCGGCUGCCCGCAGGCCCUGAAAACCAGUGGCGGGCUCGCUGUCACUCCGAGCGUAGUAGUAUCACCUCGCUCAGGGCGUGCUGCGGGUUCCGGCCGUUAAACGACCCAUUUACCCCAAGGUUGACCUCGGAUCAGGUAGGAAUACCCGCUGAACUUAA
rnacentral:misc_RNA from 1 species